rnacentral:rRNA from 1 species
AUUGAACGCUGGCGGCAGGCUUAAAACAUGCAAGUCGAGCGGAGAUGAGGUGCUUGCACAUUAUCUUAGCGGCGGACGGGUGAGUAAUGGUUAGGAAUCUGCCUAUUAGAGGGGGACAACAUUCCGAAAGGAAUGCUAAUACCGCAUACGCCCGACGGGGGAAAGCAGGGGAUCAUCGGACCUUGCGCUAAUAGAUGAGCCGAAGUCGGAUUAGCUAGUUGGUGGGGUAAAGGCCUACCAAGGCGACGAUCUGUAGCGGGUCUGAGAGGAUGAUCCUCCACACUGGGACUGAGACACGGCCCAUACUCCUACGGGAGGCAGCAGUGGGGAAUUUUGGACAAUGGGCGGAAGCCUGAUCCAGCCAUGCCGCGUGUGUGAAGAAGGCCUUUUGGUUGUAAAGCACUUUAAGCGAGGAGGAGGUUACCUGGAUUAAUACUCUAGGAUAGCGGACGUUACUCGCAGAAUACGCACCGGCUAACUCUGUGCCAGCAGCCGCCGUAAAAC